AAGGAAGUGUGAACUUCUCAAGGCAGUUACCUGCUUACCAAAGUCUGCUCAUUGAACUGUUCUGUAUCAUAUUCCCAUGAACAAGUACCCCCAAGGAGAAGAGUGAGGGCCGAGAUGUUGCUGAAUGGUCAGUGAACUUCAGCAGAAGUAAGGAGCUCUGUUUCUUAGAGACAAAGUGCCAAAGAAGCCUGCUUGCAAUAUGACAGGUACCCAUCUGUACUGAGCGGAUCUGCCCGUGCCCCUUCGAGGAUCCCUUCCGUCCCUCCCCACCAGCGUUGUUGGGGGAUUAAAGCGGCGGCGGCCCCAUACACAAACGCAGCUGGUUCCGUUUGGUCAGCCUGAGCCUUGCUGUGAAACCACG
ensembl:lncRNA